AAUGGAAAGAACAGGGUUCAAUAUCUCUGUUUCAAUGUAUUCUCUAUUUAUCUUCUCUCUAAAUAGCUAUCCUUCAGUCCUACUGUACAAUAAACAAUGCUCUUAAACAAUGUGAAACAGAAUUAAAAAAUUGAAGGAAUAGUGCAGGUGCUCCAACCCUGGAAACACUGGAGGUCAGAUGGGAUGGGGUUCUGGGCAAUAUUUCCAGUUGAAGAUGUCCCUGCUCAUGCCAGCAGUGUUGGACUAGGUGACCUUUAAAAGGUCACUUUCAGCCCAAACCAUUCUGUGAUUCCAUGAAAAAUUAUAUCUGUUGCAUUGUCACUGGUUUCUUGUAAGCUUCUAGGCUGCAAUUAGAUCCUCAUCAAGCUAUUCUCAAGUUGUUUCAUCCACGUUCUAACCAGUAAAUGCUACACUGAACUUACCACAUCAGGAUAGCACUACUCUCAUGGAGUUCAAGCUGGAGAUCAUAAGGAAGUGUAGAUUUUGGACACAUACAGGGGUGCAGGCAGAGCUAAGCUAAACCAAGAGGACCAUGGAGGCUGUGCAACUUAGAAGUUUGUGCUUGUGCUGUAUUCCUUUUAUGGUAUCAAGUACUGUUUACUUCCCAAAUACCAGUGGGGCUUAGGUGACACAAUAUGCAAACAGUGAAGGGGGGGGGCGCGCCUGGGUAAGUGAUAUUUCCUCUGAAAAACAGGUUGUAUUUUUCUAACAGAGGGGACUGGUGUUUUAAUUUCCCAUGAUGGUCACGUAGGUUUCAUCAAUCCUGUUUUCCAGUGUGUUGCAUUGCCUCAGGCGACUCAAUUGGUUUUAAGAGAGUCACUGUCAGCAGAGUGACACUUUCUACAGUGUUGUUGGUUGCUGUGCCCAUGCACCACGGACACAUGCAUGUCUCCUGAUAGCUUUUCCUCAAGUACACACCUCCUGCUUAUUCUAGAGUCGAUGAGAAAAACCAGAACCCGGAGUGUUAUUUUCAAUGGGAAAACAAUAGGAGGGAAGUUAGGUAAAUGAAAAGGAGGAAGGAUGGACUGAGGAAAGGGAAAACACAACACAAGCGAGAGGAGAAAGAAAUAUCUCUCUGGUGGUCACCAACCCCAAAGUCACAUCUGACCGCCUGGUGAACUGGCAAAAGUUGGCACAACUGAGCUGGUUGCUCUCCUGUUCUCCUUCCUGCAGAAUAAGCAUUCAGUGGUUCCACAGGCCAGUGGUUUUUAAAGAAUAAGCAUUGUGUUAGCCCACCAGGUGCACACAAUUUUUCAUCAACAAAACUCUUUUAAGACAGGCAUGUGAUUAUCCCAGAUGAGGCUGAAAUGAGACUAUAUUCAAUAUAAACAAGUCACAGUCUUGCAAAACGAGUUGCUGUUCAACAGAUGGUGCUGGGAUUCAGGCAUGCCAAGCAGCUCAGCCCCUGCAGAGGACCUGGCUGUGGUGAUACCUACCCACAGGGUGAAACCUGGCCCCACCUAGGGAACUGGAUGAUUAGGUUAACCUCUGGAGUUCAGCAGUUUCCUGGGUGUUGCUUUACCAGCCAGUUGUGUUGUGGUGCUCUUAUUUUAUUUGAUGCAAAUCUUGGAAACUCCUCCACAGAAGUUCCACUUUGAAAAUGCAGAUGUGUGAAAUGAAGUGAACACAUUUGUGUGUGCUUAAUAGUUUUCUCUAAUCUUCUAAGAACUAGCUUAGAAAGAUACAGGAAGGAGUUAAAAAAAUGUUCUAUAUCUGUGUAGAACUGUCUAAACACCCCAUUCAAAGGUAUUAUUUUAAUCAAUGGGAUUUGUAGAAGAAGGGUUAGCAGCCAAAAGGAUAGAAGAAAGU